AGGUUAUGGGGAGGCUCACAGUCCCUGUCAGGGCCCAUAAAAAGGAAAAUAGCCGUGUCUGGGAGAGCUAGAGACACGUCCAUGUCGACCGAAGUGAAACAGAGAUUCGGAGAGGUGCGGAAGACUGAGGAACAACAAAGAAGGGGAGCGAGGGACAGAGAAAGGGGACGCUGAGGGACAGAGCUGAGGGAGACGGACGACAGGAGGGCACCGAAGAGGAAAAUUGGCACACUCCAUGACAGCCCUUAGAGCAAUGCCACAGAGCCCUGAAGUCCAAUACCCUUCAUCUUACCGAUGAGGGAACCAAGUCCCCCAGAGGGGAAGGGGGCAAGCAAGGCAUCACACAGUGAGUGACCUAUUGGAAGAGCCUCCCGUAUCUCUCCAUCUCUGGCGUCUGAGCCUUUUUCUGUCUUUGAGAAUUUCUAUGUGACUAUGACUGUCCCUUUGGUGUUUGUGAUGGGAGAGCCCCGGUUUUGUCCAGGGGGCUUCGUUAGGGGCUGAGGGGAGUGUGUGCUUCCCAUCGUCUCCUUCAGCCGUAUCCCUUUUCUCCCUACCCCUUCUCAGUCUUUGCCCACAACCCCUCUCAGAUCUAGUUCUCCCUCCCCCCCAGCCCCUUGGCCAGGGCCGCUGGAGAGGGUGGUCACCCUCCCGGCCAGCCCUUUCCCUUUCAGUGCCCCCAGGGUUCCUGGAGGACCUCGCCCCCUUUCAGAUCACUAGGGAUCCCCAGCUCCCCCCUUGGAGUUCUCCCUCCCUUCCUCCCCAGGGUUCAGGGGGUGGUGAGGGGAGUGGGGGGGAAUGGGUUAAGAGAGGUGCGCGUGUCGUGGGAUGGAAAGCAAAGAACACAGCGUUAGACACGGAUGUAGAGAUGGACGUUUAUAACGGCAAAAAAAGGGUGAGUCACUGGGGUAAGGGAGGCAUGUGGGGGAAGGGGGACUCAGAGAAGGGGAAGGGUCAUGGAGCUAAUACAC